rnacentral:rRNA from 1 species
GACGAACGCUGGCGGCGUGCUUAACACAUGCAAGUCGAACGGAAAGGCCCUGCUUUUGUGGGGUGCUCGAGUGGCGAACGGGUGAGUAACACGUGAGUAACCUGCCCUUGACUUUGGGAUAACUUCAGGAAACUGGGGCUAAUACCGGAUAGGAGCUCCUGCUGCAUGGUGGGGGUUGGAAAGUUUCGGCGGUUGGGGAUGGACUCGCGGCUGAUCAGCUUGUUGGUGGGGUAGUGGCUUACCAAGGCUUUGACGGGUAGCCGGCCUGAGCGGGUGACCGGCCACAUUGGGACUGAGAUACGGCCCGGCCUCCUACGGGAGGCAGCGGUGGGGAAUAUUGCACUAGGGGAGGAAGCCUGGCGCAACAACGCCGCGUGCGGGAUGACGGCAUUCGGGUUGUAACCCGCUUUCGCCUGUGACGAAGCGUGAGUGACGGUAAUGGGUAAAGAAGCACCGGCUAACUACGUG